CCUCUCACUACUAGAAAUCAGCCAAGAGAGGACCAAGCAAGAAGGUGGCCGUCUAUGAGCCAGGAAGAGAUUCCUUAACAGGAACCAAUGAUCAUGCUGGCAUCCUGAUUUUCAAAUUCCAGCCUCCAGAACCAUGAAAAACAAACAAACAACAAACAAAUUUCUAUUGUUUAAGCCACCCAGUCUAUGCUGUUUUGUUACAGCAGCCUGACUAAGUGUUAGGGUACCACAUCCGUGGCUGAAGGUCAUCUUCCAAUGGCCAGUGUCUCUAACUUGUUGUUUGAGGACUUUCUCUGAAACCAAAGGCAACUCAGCUUGAGGUCUUGAAAGUGUCAAGAAACUCACCAAUGCAUUCUCCACCCGCAGCAGCUCUCAACUACUGGCUGUAGCAUUUGACUCCUGGAUUCUGGAAAAGAACUCUAGGGGUGUAUUCUGAAUUGUUUAUCACACCCGUUGGCACCUGGCUUCAUGACACAGCCUUUUGGGGCUGCUUUCUCUUUGUGGUCACAUCCUUAUUCCCUGAGAGAGGUUUCCUGUGUCUCUCAGAUAAACUACCAGCACUUGAUUUUUGCUCAGGGUCUGGCUUGUUGGAACACAAGACAACGCUGAAGGUCUUACUUUGUAAGGCAUCUUGUUUAUGUGAUAGGAUAUAGCCAAUUGCAGGGGGGAAAUUGCAGGGGUCUGGAAAUGUCACUAGUGUGUUAGCAAUGCUGGAAACAGAUUGAAGUGCAGCUUUAAUCCUGGUACAUAACAGUGUUUCUCUCCUACCUCAAACACUCAGGCAACACAUGCAUGUUUGCAUUGAAUGUAUGUUUAUUUUUACAAUUGUUAAAUCAAACUAAAAUCUCAUCUGCAAAAGCCUCUGUACUCAUACACUUGAAUUAUUGCAUAUGAACUGCAACCUGACUUAGUAAGUAAAAAAACAGAAAACCUAAUUCAGGAAUGUGCUUCUGUAAGAAGAGCUAAGUCUCAGCAAACACAGCAGCUCUACUUCAACCAUGCACAGGCAGCCAGUUGUUCAAAUUGUUUUCAAGUAAGGCAAAUGCCAAGCUAUAACCAAUCCAGCUGUUUCCGGGCCUCACUUCUUUUUUUUUUUUUUUCUUUUUUUUCCUUUGAGGCAGAAUCUCUCUCUGUUGCAGAGGCUGGAGUGCAGUGGCAUGAUCUCGGCUCGCUGCAACCUCCGCCCCCCAGGUACAAGUGAUUCUCCUUCCUCAGCCUCCUGAGUAGCUGGGAUUACAGGCACCCACCAACACCCCUGGUUAAUUUUUGUAUUUUUAGUACAGACAGGGUUUUGCCAUGCUAGCC
rnacentral:lncRNA from 10 species